CUUAAAUGAAUUGACGGGGCCGCACAAGCGGUGGAGCAUGUGGUUAAUUCGACGCAACGCGAAGAACCUUACCAGGGCUUGACAUCCCCUGACCGUCUAUGAAGUAGGCUUUCUACCUUCGGGUAGACAGGGAGACAGGUGGUGCAUGGUUGUCGUCAGCUCGUGUCGUGAGAUGUUGGGUUAAGUCCCGCAACGAGCGCAACCCUUACGGUUAGUUGCCAGCGGGUUAUGCCGGGCACUCUAGCUGAACUGCCGUUGACAAAACGGAGGAAGUGGGAUGACGUCAAUCAUCAUGCCCUUUAUGUCCUGGGCUACACACGUGCUACAAUGGCCUGUACAGGGGGAAGCGAAAGGGUGACCUGGAGCGAAUCCCAAAAGCAGGUCUCAGUUCGGAUUGCAGGCUGCAACCCGCCUGCAUGAAGUCGGAAUCGCUAGUAAUCGCAGGUCAGCAUACUGUGGUCGAAUACGUUCCCGGGCCUU
rnacentral:rRNA from 1 species